GAUGAACGCUGACAGAAUGCUUAACACAUGCAAGUCAACUUGAAUUUGGGUUUUUAACUUAGAUUUGGGUGGCGGACGGGUGAGUAACGCGUAAAGAACUUGCCUCACAGCUAGGGACAACAUUUAGAAAUGAAUGCUAAUACCUGAUAUUAUGAUUUUAAGGCAUCUUAGAAUUAUGAAAGCUAUAAGCACUGUGAGAGAGCUUUGCGUCCCAUUAGCUAGUUGGAGAGGUAACAGCUCACCAAGGCGAUGAUGGGUAGCCGGCCUGAGAGGGUGAACGGCCACAAGGGGACUGAGACACGGCCCUUACUCCUACGGGAGGCAGCAGUGGGGAAUAUUGGACAAUGGACCGAGAGUCUGAUCCAGCAAUUCUGUGUGCACGAUGAAGUUUUUCGGAAUGUAAAGUGCUUUCAGUUGGGAAGAAAAAAAUGACGGUACCAACAGAAGAAGUGACGGCUAAAUACGUGCCAGCAGCCGCGGUAAUACGUAUGUCACGAGCGUUAUCCGGAUUUAUUGGGCGUAAAGCGCGUCUAGGUGGUUAUGUAAGUCUGAUGUGAAAAUGCAGGGCUCAACUCUGUAUUGCGUUGGAAACUGUAUAACUAGAGUACUGGAGAGGUAAGCGGAACUACAAGUGUAGAGGUGAAAUUCGUAGAUAUUUGUAGGAAUGCCGAUGGGGAAGCCAGCUUACUGGACAGAUACUGACGCUAAGCGCGAAAGCGUGGGUAGCAAACAGG
rnacentral:rRNA from 1 species